CCUUUGCUUUUUAGUUUAUAACUCAAAAAUCGCCUUCGUACGCACUGAACACCAAUUUGUUAACAUAAAUAGGGCACUUCGAUAACACACGAUAUGACAUGUUUCCAACGUAGAGAAUAACUACUAUUAACAGUGAAUGGUUACAACACAAUGCAAAGAAGACGUGAGAACUGCCAACAAUGCAGUGCGGCAGCCGAUGCUUCCAUCACACAGUUUCUGAACAUACUGAGGUCUAGCUGCUUACCAACAGACCUUCUUUGCGCUGAUUGGUCACUCACAAAGAGCAGAACUUGACUCAGCCGCCAAUUCUGCUGAACAAUACUAUAGUUGUCCAAUAAAUAAGUGAACAGACUUUACACUUCAGUGGAGUUCAGGAUUUUAUUUCAGCAGUAAUCAUUAUCAUUCUGUGAGAAUGGUAAAACAUUGGACCAAGUAAUUUAACAGAAAUGCAGAUUUCUUGUAAUUAAAACGAAGUUUCACACACAA